rnacentral:rRNA from 1 species
UUUUUCGGUGCAAGAUGAGCUCGCGGCCUAUCAGCUUGUUGGUGGGGUAAUGGCCUACCAAGGCGUCGACGGGUAGCCGGCCUGAGAGGGUGUACGGCCACAUUGGGACUGAGAUACGGCCCAGACUCCUACGGGAGGCAGCAGUGGGGAAUAUUGCACAAUGGGCGGAAGCCUGAUGCAGCGACGCCGCGUGGGGGAUGACGGCCUUCGGGUUGUAAACUCCUUUCGACAGGGACGAAGC